UACAGAGGGUGCGAGCGUUGUCCGGAUUCAUUGGGCGUAAAGGGUGCGUAGGCGGCGCGGUAAGUCGGGUGUGAAAUCUCGGAGCUUAACUCCGAAACUGCAUUCGAUACUGCCGUGCUUGAGGACUGGAGAGGAGACUGGAAUUUACGGUGUAGCGGUGAAAUGCGUAGAUAUCGUAAGGAAGACCAGUGGCGAAGGCGGGUCUCUGGACAGUUCCUGACGCUGAGGCACGAAGGCUAGGGGAGCAAACGGG
rnacentral:rRNA from 1 species